rnacentral:lncRNA from 1 species
AUGUAUUUAAGAAUUGAAUGCUUCUUUUUGUAAAUUUAUUUGGGUGUAAAAGCGUUGACCGAAGUACAUUUUGUAUGAAGCGCGGAAGCGUUUCAUUCUAAAAAUGUACGCACGGUCAACGCUUUUACAACCCUAUAAAGUUACAAAAAGAAGCAUUCAAUACUUAUAAUUACAUUUUUUAGCUAUUAUCAUGAAAACACGAAUUUUAUAUAUUUUAUUAUUUAAUUCACCUGUGCACUUUAUUGUUGGAGCACGUGUUAUCAUGAGUGAAAAGUUGUAUUGAGCAAUGCAACUGCUUACGGAAUAACACGUGAUGUGCAGUUAGCCAAUCAGAAUAAAAUAUUAUAAUGAAACAUACAUCUAAUGUAAUUAUAUG